rnacentral:lncRNA from 1 species
UUGAAAAAGUAUGGGAACCUAGUGCUUAGUGCUAAAGAAAGUUGGUACAACUUGGUGCUUUGUGCUAAAAAGAAGGUUAAGAGAAUCUAGUGCUUAGUGAUUAAAAAAAAGAACCUUAUGCUAAGUGCUAAAGAAAGGUCUGAUACCCUUAGGUUAAGUGUAUUAAAAAGGUCAGAGAACUGUAUGCUUAUUGCAUAAGUAAGGUAUUAUAACCUUAUGUUUAGUGUAUUAAAAAGGUCAGAGAACCUGUCUUUAAUAGAUAUAUGAAUAGAUAUGUAAUGUAUAAGCUGAUUAGAUUUAGGUGGGGGUAGUUGAAUUUAGAAUAUUGUAGAUAUAAGGUACACAUAUUUACAUAUGUUCAUCUUCCAUUUUAAUUGGAAGAUGAGGUAAUUGGGUUGACCAUUUUUAUAAGGGAUUCAUUUAUGUUCUAAACACUUGUUACACAACUGGUUAAGGAUAAUAAACUAGAUGUGACAUUUUAGCAAUUUUAGAUCGGUCAUUGUUUUCAAUAUCUAGCUUAUAGAACUUAUAAUGUGUUUUU